UACGUAGGGUGCAAGCGUUGUCCGGAAUUAUUGGGCGUAAAGAGCUCGUAGGCGGUUUGUCGCGUCUGCUGUGAAAACUCGGGGCUUAACUCCGGGCCUGCAGUGGGUACGAGCAGACUAGAGUGCGGUAGGGGAGACUGGAAUUCCUGGUGUAGCGGUGAAAUGCGCAGAUAUCAGGAGGAACACCGGUGGCGAAGGCGGUUCUCUGGGCCUUACCUGACGCUGGAGGCGCGGAAAAGCUAGGGGAGCGAACAGG
rnacentral:rRNA from 1 species